UGAAGCAUAUUGAGAACAAGUAUGCUUUUCAGGAGGCCUUGGACAAUCUAGGAGACAAACCUAUAGUAGUUGAUUUCUCAGCCACGUGUUGCAAGCUUUACAAAAUAAUCGAGCCUUUCAUUCCCUCUCUGCAAAGCAUUCCAAGAUGGUGUUGCUUGGAGUAGACAUGGAAGACUGUCAGGAAGUUGCUUCAGAGUGUGAAGUUAAAUGCAUGCCAAUUUUUGAGUUUUUUUUAAAGGACAAAAGGUGUGUAAAUUUUCUAAUAAGAAAAAGCUUGAAGUCACUAUUAAUAAAU
rnacentral:lncRNA from 1 species